UUUCAUCAUUAUUAUAUGCUUUUUCAGA
rnacentral:sRNA from 1 species